rnacentral:misc_RNA from 1 species
GUAUUAAUUUUAAAGGCUUUUUAACGGCCCAUUAAUAACAUUCACAGACAUACAUUAGGGGUAUAUGAAGACGUAGACUAGGAAUUACAAGGAAAGCUAAUGCAAUUCCUCAAACCAAAGCUAAUGAAAGCCUUGAGGAUCAUUCCAAGUCUACAAUAUGUGCACAGGUGGUUUAAAUGAGAGCAAGCGUGCACAUGCCCCAAAGGGCCAGCAACAACUCACUUCAGUUUAAUUCAAUAAUGAUCCUUCCGCAGGUUCACCUACGGAAA